rnacentral:rRNA from 1 species
UACGGAGGGAGCUAGCGUUGUUCGGAAUUACUGGGCGUAAAGCGCACGUAGGCGGCGAUUCAAGUCAGAGGUGAAAGCCCGGGGCUCAACCCCGGAACUGCCUUUGAAACUAGAUAGCUAGAAUCUUGGAGAGGUCAGUGGAAUUCCGAGUGUAGAGGUGAAAUUCGUAGAUAUUCGGAAGAACACCAGUGGCGAAGGCGACUGACUGGACAAGUAUUGACGCUGAGGUGCGAAAGCGUGGGGAGCAAACAGG